rnacentral:rRNA from 1 species
GGCGGGACACGUGGUAUCCUGUCUGAAUAUGGGGGGACCAUCCUCCAAGGCUAAAUACUCCUGACUGACCGAUAGUGAACCAGUACCGUGAGGGAAAGGCGAAAAGAACCCCGGCGAGGGGAGUGAAAAAGAACCUGAAACCGUGUACGUACAAGCAGUGGGAGCCUACUUGUUAGGUGACUGCGUACCUUUUGUAUAAUGGGUCAGCGACUUAUAUUCUGUAGCAAGGUUAACCGUAUAGGGGAGCCGCAGGGAAACCGAGUCUUAACUGGGCGUUAAGUUGCAGGGUAUAGACCCGAAACCCGGUGAUCUAGCCAUGGGCAGGUUGAAGGUUGGGUAACACUAACUGGAGGACCGAACCGACUAAUGUUGAAAAAUUAGCGGAUGACUUGUGGCUGGGGGUGAAAGGCCAAUCAAACCGGGAGAUAGCUGGUUCUCCCCGAAAGCU